GCCGGUGAGCUUACCUGGAAGGCCACACCCGUUCCCAUUCCGAACACGGUCGUUAAGCUUCCAGGGCCGAUGAUAGUGCUUCCAGCGCGAAAGUAGGUUAUUGCCGGCU
rnacentral:rRNA from 1 species